rnacentral:tRNA from 1 species
CCGCAUAUCGUGGGCCUAUGUUAGGCCGCACCCGACAUGGGGUGUCGGGGGUCGGAGGUUCAAAUCCUCUCGUGCCGACCA